rnacentral:rRNA from 1 species
UACGGGGGGGCAAGCGUUGUUCGGAAUUACUGGGCGUAAAGGGCUCGUAGGCGGCCAACUAAGUCAGACGUGAAAUCCCCAGGCUCAACCUGGGAACUGCGUCUGAUACUGGAUGGCUUGAAUUCGGGAGAGGGAUGCAGAAUUCCAGGUGUAGCGGUGAAAUGCGUAGAUAUCUGGAGGAAUACCGGUGGCGAAGGCGGCCACCUGGCUCGCAACUGACGCUGAGGCGCGAAAGCGUGGGAGCAACAGG